UGAGAGCUUUCCAUAGCUGAUCACCCUCAGCCACCCCGUGAGAUCAGUGCUAUUGUGAUCUCGUCUCACAGAUGGGAAGAGGAAGGAACAAAGAGGGUUGCAGUGAACACUCUCUAGGACAGAUACCUGAAGGUGGAAUUGCCAGAGCAAAGGCUCAUGAAAUGGGGUUCCUAGUGGCCCCCUGGCUACCAGCUCAGCUCACCACUGAGGAGGCACCACCAAGAACUCUGCCAGAGGAGGUAUCCAAGGAAGGCAGGGCUGGGACUCAAUCCAAACGACAGAUGCCACGACAGACUCAUCAUUCUGACCACCUUGGUGUUGUUAUUGACCCAGUGUGUCAUGCGUGAUGUUCUCCAAGAAGGCCCCUGGUGGC